GUAAAGUAGGGAUUUUCUCAUGUUUGAUUUGAAAUCAAAUAGAUUGCAUUAUGCAAGCUUUAUU
rnacentral:tRNA from 1 species